GUGGGGAAUCUUCCGCAAUGGGCGAAAGCCUGACGGAGCAACGCCGCGUGAGUGAAGAAGGCCUUCGGGUCGUAAAGCUCUGUCUUCAGGGACGAAAAGGCAGGGGAGUAAUAUGCCCUUGUUGUGACGGUACCUGAGGAGGAAGCUCCGGCUAACUACGUGCCAGCAGCCGCGGUAAUACGUAGGGAGCGAGCGUUGUCCGGAAUUACUGGGCGUAAAGGGCGCGUAGGCGGGAAUUUAAGUAAGGUGUGAAAACUCCGGGCUCAACCUGGAGACUGCAAUUUAAACUGGAUUUCUUGAGGGCAGGAGAGGAAAGUGGAAUUCCUAGUGUAGCGGUGAAAUGCGUAGAUAUUAGGAGGAACACCAGUGGCGAAGGCAACUUUCUGGACUGUACCUGACGCUGAGGCGCGAAAGCGUGGGGAGCGAACAGGAUUAGAUACCCUUGUAGUCC
rnacentral:rRNA from 1 species